rnacentral:lncRNA from 1 species
AAAUUCUAAACAAAACCCACCGUAGUUAAUUGAGACCAAUUUUUUAGACAAAUCGAUGCUAUAUCAGUUGGCACACAUUUGCCAAAUUCAACCAAGAAACAAAUGUAGAAAAUUCUUACUUCGCCAAUGCAUAGCUCAUAAUUACCACUGUAAUAUUAACUCAAAUGAGAUUAACUUAAUUUACUUUUCAAAUAAAAAAAUGCUGCAAAAACGUUCAAAAAGCAUGAACCCAGUCCCUUAGG